rnacentral:rRNA from 1 species
GCCUAACACAUGCAAGUCGAGGGGCAGCAUGGAGAAAGCUUGCUUUCUCUGAUGGCGACCGGCGAAUGGGUGAGUCACGCGUGUCCAACCUGCCCCCCGCCCGGGGAUAGCCCUUGGAAAUGAGGAUUAAGACCCGAUAUGUGGCGCCUCCGCAUGGCGGCGCCAUGAAGCAGGCAGGGGAUGGGGACGCGUCGGAUUAGCUGGACGGCGGGGCAAUGGCCCACCGUGGCGACGAUCCGCAGGGGUUCUGAGAGGAAGGUCCCCCACACUGGCACUGAGACACGGGCCAGACUCCUACGGGAGGCAGCAGUGAGGAAUAUUGGUCAAUGGCCGCGAGGCUGAACCAGCCAAGUAGCGUGCAGGACGACGGCCCUACGGGUUGUAAACUGCUUUUUCGGGAGGAUAAAGGACGUCACGUGUGGCGUUUUGCAGGUAUCCCGUGAAUAAGGACCGGCUAAUUCCGUGCCAGCAGCCGCGGUAAUACGGAAGGUCCGGGCGUUAUCCGGAUUUAUUGGGUUUAAAGGGAGCGCAGGCGGAGAGUGAAGCGUGCCGUGAAAGCGCGGGGCUCAACCCCGUAUAGCGGCGCGAACUCACCCUCUUGGUUGCGGGAGAGGAAGGCGGAACUCGUGGUGUAACUCUGAAAUGCAUAGAUAUCACGAGGAACCCCGAUCUCGAAGGCAGCCUUCCGGCCCGUUAACGAGCUCAUGCUCCAAAUUUCGA